GUCCACGCUGUAAACGAUGAGUACUAGGUGUCGCGGGUAUUGACCCCUGCGGUGCCGCAGCUAACGCAUUAAGUACUCCGCCUGGGGACUACGGCCGCAAGGUUAAAACUCAAAGGAAUUGACGGGGGCCCCGCACAAGCGGUGGAGCAUGUGGUUCAAUUCGACGCAACGCGAAGAACCUUACCUGGACUAGACAACGGUGGACCGCCUCAGAGACGAGGCUUUCCCUUCGGGGACUGCCGGUUCAGGUGCUGCAUGGCUGUCGU
rnacentral:rRNA from 1 species